AAGACCUGUGUAACUCUAAACACAUCUUCUGAAUGCAACUCAAACACUUUAACUUAAGCUAAGGCCUC
rnacentral:tRNA from 1 species